rnacentral:miRNA from 1 species
GACGUCGAAUAUCGACGUCAUAAACACCAAAGUUGAUCGUGUUUAUUACGUCGAAUAUCGACGUCAUAAACACCAAAGUUGAUCGUGUUUAUAACGUGGACGUCAUAAACACCAAAGUUGAUAGUGUUUAUGACGUCGAAUAUCGACGUGAUAAACACCUAAGUGGAUCGUGUUUAUGACAUCGAAUAUCGACGUCAUAAACAUCUACGUUGAUCGUGUUUAUGACGUCGAAUAUCGAAGUC